rnacentral:rRNA from 1 species
GGGUUGUGAGGUUAAGCGACUAAGCGUACACGGUGGAUGCCCUGGCAGUCAGAGGCGAUGAAGGGCGUGCUAAUCUGCGAUAAGCGCCGGUAAGGUGAUAUGAACCGUUAUAACCGGCGAUACCCGAAUGGGGAAACCCAGUGUGACUCGUCACACUAUCAUUAACUGAAUCCAUAGGUUAAUGAGGCGAACCGGGGGAACUGAAACAUCUAAGUACCCCGAGGAAAAGAAAUCAACCGAGAUUCCCCCAGUAGCGGCGAGCGAACGGGGAGGAGCCCAGAGCCUGAAUCAGCAUGUGUGUUAGUGGAAGCGUCUGGAAAGUCGCGCGAUACAGGGUGACAGCCCCGUACACAAAAGCGCAUGUGUUGUGAGCUCGAUGAGUAGGGCGGGACACGUGGUAUCCUGUCUGAAUAUGGGGGGACCAUCCUCCAAGGCUAAAUACUCCUGACUGACCGAUAGUGAACCAGUACCGUGAGGGAAAGGCGAAAAGAACCCCGGCGAGGGGAGUGAAAAAGAACCUGAAACCGUGUACGUACAAGCAGUGGGAGCACCCUUUGGGGUGUGACUGCGUACCUUUUGUAUAAUGGGUCAGCGACUUAUAUUCUGUAGCAAGGUUAACCGUAUAGGGGAGCCGGAGGGAAACCGAGUCUUAAUUGGGCGUUAAGUUGCAGGGUAUAGACCCGAAACCCGGUGAUCUAGCCAUGGGCAGGUUGAAGGUUGGGUAACACUAACUGGAGGACCGAACCGACUAAUGUUGAAAAAUUAGCGGAUGACCUGUGGCUGGGGGUGAAAGGCCAAUCAAACCGGGAGAUAGCUGGUUCUCCCCGAAAGCUAUUUAGGUAGCGCCUCGUGAAUUCAUCUCCGGGGGUAGAGCACUGUUUCGGCUAGGGGGCCAUCCCGGCUUACCAACCCGAUGCAAACUGCGAAUACCGGAGAAUGUUAUCACGGGAGACACACGGCGGGUGCUAACGUCCGUCGUGAAGAGGGAAACAACCCAGACCGCCAGCUAAGGUCCCAAAGUCAUGGUUAAGUGGGAAACGAUGUGGGAAGGCCCAGACAGCCAGGAUGUUGGCUUAGAAGCAGCCAUCAUUUAAAGAAAGCGUAAUAGCUCACUGGUCGAGUCGGCCUGCGCGGAAGAUGUAACGGGGCUAAACCAUGCACCGAAGCUGCGGCAGCGACACUGUGUGUUGUUGGGUAGGGGAGCGUUCUGUAAGCCUGUGAAGGUGUGUCGUGAGGCAUGCUGGAGGUAUCAGAAGUGCGAAUGCUGACAUAAGUAACGAUAAAGCGGGUGAAAAGCCCGCUCGCCGGAAGACCAAGGGUUCCUGUCCAACGUUAAUCGGGGCAGGGUGAGUCGACCCCUAAGGCGAGGCCGAAAGGCGUAGUCGAUGGGAAACGGGUUAAUAUUCCCGUACUUGGUGUUACUGCGAAGGGGGGACGGAGAAGGCUAUGUUGGCCGGGCGACGGUUGUCCCGGUUUAAGCGUGUAGGUGUGUGUUCCAGGUAAAUCCGGUUCACUUUAACACUGAGGCGUGACGACGAGGCACUACGGUGCUGAAGCAACAAAUGCCCUGCUUCCAGGAAAAGCCUCUAAGCAUCAGGUAACAUCAAAUCGUACCCCAAACCGACACAGGUGGUCAGGUAGAGAAUACCAAGGCGCUUGAGAGAACUCGGGUGAAGGAACUAGGCAAAAUGGUGCCGUAACUUCGGGAGAAGGCACGCUGACACGUAGGUGAAGUGAUUUACUCAUGGAGCUGAAGUCAGUCGAAGAUACCAGCUGGCUGCAACUGUUUAUUAAAAACACAGCACUGUGCAAACACGAAAGUGGACGUAUACGGUGUGACGCCUGCCCGGUGCCGGAAGGUUAAUUGAUGGGGUCAGCGCAAGCGAAGCUCCUGAUCGAAGCCCCGGUAAACGGCGGCCGUAACUAUAACGGUCCUAAGGUAGCGAAAUUCCUUGUCGGGUAAGUUCCGACCUGCACGAAUGGCGUAAUGAUGGCCAGGCUGUCUCCACCCGAGACUCAGUGAAAUUGAACUCGCUGUGAAGAUGCAGUGUACCCGCGGCAAGACGGAAAGACCCCGUGAACCUUUACUAUAGCUUGACACUGAACAUUGAGCCUUGAUGUGUAGGAUAGGUGGGAGGCUUUGAAGCGUGG